rnacentral:rRNA from 1 species
AGAGUUUGAUCCUGGCUCAGAACGAACGCUGGCGGCAGGCUUAACACAUGCAAGUCGAACGCUCGUAGCAAUACGGGAGUGGCAGACGGGUGAGUAACGCGUGGGAACAUACCCUCCGGUUCGGAAUAGCUCAGGGAAACUUGGAUUAAUACCGGAUACGGCUGAGAGGCGAAAGAUUUAUCGCCGGAGGAUUGGCCCGCGUUCGAUUAGCUUGUUGGUGAGGUAAUGGCUCACCAAGGCGAUGAUCGAUAGCUGGUCUGAGAGGAUGAUCAGCCACAUUGGGACUGAGACACGGCCCAAACUCCUACGGGAGGCAGCAGUGGGGAAUAUUGGACAAUGGGCGCAAGCCUGAUCCAGCCAUGCCGCGUGAGUGAUGACGGCCUUAGGGUUGUAAAGCUCUUUCGCUCGGGACGAUAAUGACGGUACCGAGAUAAGAAGCCCCGGCUAACUUCGUGCCAGCAGCCGCGGUAAUACGAAGGGGGCUAGCGUUGUUCGGAAUUACUGGGCGUAAAGCGCGUGUAGGCGGGUCUUUAAGUCAGGGGUGAAAUGCCAAGGCUCAACCUUGGAACUGCCUUUGAUACUGGAGAUCUUGAGUCCGGGAGAGGUGAGUGGAAUUGCGAGUGUAGAGGUGAAAUUCGUAGAUAUUCGCAAGAACACCAGUGGCGAAGGCGGCUCACUGGCCCGGAACUGACGCUGAGACGCGAAAGCGUGGGGAGCAAACAGGAUUAGAUACCCUGGUAGUCC